GACAAGGUGGCUGAGUGGUUAAGGUGAUAGACUACUAAUCCAUUGUGCUCUGCACACGUGGGUUUGAAUCCCACCCUUGUUG
rfam:Lepisosteus oculatus unplaced genomic scaffold TNK18, whole genome shotgun sequence.